rnacentral:lncRNA from 1 species
CCUGAAUCGAGUGCCUUACUCGCACCUAAACUGAAAGCCCAGUUCGACACGUACAUUAAAAUGAAAGGUCCAGCCUGCCCAGAAAGUGGUUUUGCUUGUUUGUUUUUUUCAAUGAGCCCAGGGCAGGCCUGGUAAGUAGGGUUACUAGUGACAACACUUGUCCACACCAGACACCCAGACGCACGUCACCUUAAACGCAUGUGAGCCGGGCACACGGUGAAGUGUCAUGACCUCAUACAGAACACUUGGUGGAACCUAAAGCAUUUCUCCAGAGGACCCCCUGAUCAGUCCCCCUGGUUCCUCUGAACACGGGCACCCCUUCCUAGCCUUGAAGCUCAACAGCGGGAUCCAGGCCGGAAGGAGGUCGGGGGCUUAAAAUACAAAAUACCAGAGACGGAGACGCCCAGUGUGGCGUCUGUAUCUGACAGGGAACAGACCGGCUCAAAACCAGCCUGAAAGGCCACCCUACUAGGAAGUGGCCCCUUUAAAUCGCUGCUCUCUGCCUCCAGAGCAGAUAUGUGCACUCUGCUGCCAGCAGCAGCCAGCAAACAAAAACAAAUACUCAUUGAAGAGGGGGAGGAAGAGACUAAAAUGCAGAUUUGAAAUGUUCUGCUUCCUCAGCUCAGCUGAAACCGGAGCCAAAACGAAGGGGAAAGCUCCUGGAUCAGGGAAGAGCCAAAUGCCAGUUCAGAAGGUUGAGAAAGAGGGACAAGGAUGGACCACUCGCCAAAUCUCGGAUGGACACCACCGCCACCCCUGCCCAGAACUCCUUCUCCACUGGGAUCCUUUAUGGUUCUUCUUCCACCUGGGCUCCUUAUCUACGGUUAUAUGUCACCACUCUAGAGCCCUGAAUUCCUACUGGUUUCACUGAACCCUCACGGUGGGAGAGAGACCAAAAAAAAAAAAAGUGGAAACACUAGUACUGGUGGAGGAAAAAGGAUCCUGGAAUAACAAUAAAAACAGUGGUGGUUGAUCUGUAUUUAAAUGCUAGCUGUGCCAGGGAUUGCUGAUCCUCUGCAGUUUGGCACUGUGAAAAUUUAAAAGAAGUCAAAAAAAUACACUCUUCAAGUUGGUGAAGGAGGUUAGCAUCAGAAGAAACAGUUCCAAAAGGCACAUACACAAGUAGAAGCAAAAGUUCCUAGGGAAUCCCUGUCAGUUAACACAGACAUAUAAAAGGAGAAAAAUACGAAUUUUGAAGCUUUUCAAUAAAAAAUACAAUCAUGAAAGUAUUUACUCUAAGCAAUUCACAUCACCUAUACGAAGUCUGAAUUAGUUUUAGGAGGCAUAUUCGAAUGUAUUUUUUUCCAAUAGAUUUAAAAAUUAUUCUUUUUGUUUUAAUUUCUGGAUGUCCCUACUCAGGAUCUCCUUCAACAAUCAAUACAUUUUAAAUCACAUAAGGAGUUUUCAUGUUGAGAAAAAUAACAUUUAAGGUGUAAUUAUCAGGUUUUUAUUCAUUCCGGCAAAAUUUGAUUUAAAUUUCAAAAAGUUUCCCAAAAUGUGGGUUUUAUUUUACCUUUUUAUUUUUAUAAUCCCCAGACAACAUCACACAUUCGGCAAGUGUCACUUGGUGUUUGCUCGACAUUGCAGCUACCUGCUGGCCUACAGAGCAAUGGUAAAGCAACCUUGCUUAGUUUAGGUACUGGAGGACUCAAACAUCAAUCCAAAAGUCAACAUCCAAAUCUCGGUUCUGAGGGGAGGGCAUUAUAUUGAAACAAGAAGAAUGAGAGGAUUCACAGAAGAGAUAAAGCAAAAAAUGACUACAGCUGCAAGUUGCCCAAAGAGACUUGAGACUGGGAGACAAAAUUGAAUGGAGAGACAAAAAAACACCCAGGAAGAAAUGAAUUUUUUGAAGAAUUUAGAAGUGACCAAUCCUUGCUGCUAUUAUAUUCUAAAACAUGUCACUUGUUGAUGACAGUGACGAUAUUGACAACUCAUCAUCUAAGUGUAUUACAUUGACUUGAAUUAACUGUGGCUCAAUUGGGAAGAAUUAACAAUAAUAAUAAUAAUAAUGUUGGUAUUUGUUAAGCGCUUCCUAUGUGCCAAGCACUUCUAAGCGGUGGGGUGGAUACAAGGUGAUCAGGUUGUCCCAGGUGGGGCUCACAGCCUUCAUCCCCAUUUUACAGAUGAAGUAACUGAGGCAUGGAGAAGUUAAGUGACUUGCCCAAAGUCACACAGCUGACAAGCGGCGGAUGUAUGGACAUUAGAACCCAUGACCUCUGACUCCCAAACCCGGGCUCUUUCCACUGAGCCACGCUGCUUCUCUGAAUUAGAAAAUCAAUAUAUCCAUUUGGCAGAAAAAUCUGAAGAAACACUUAAAUUCCAAAUGAUGUUUUCGGUUUUCAUCCUAAUUUUUCAAAGAUGAUAAUCAAAAGGGUAGAAACUGUGACACAGUGGAUAACGUCCUAAAAAUACAUAUCCUGCGUAUACAGAGCACUCUCAGAAGAGCCUCCCAGUACAAUAGAUUCAGAAGAAGUACUAUGUUGCUCUCCGGGCCUCCUCCACUGGUUUGGAUGGAAAUAGAUAAGACAUUAACUUGAGCAACUUUGUGGAUGGAUCUCCACUAUUCCAUCGAAGGCUUUAAGAACCAAACACGGCAGAGUCUAUUACCCUUUUGUUUAUAUAGUCUAAAUAUGCAAAAUGUGAAUGUUUCUCAUAGUUUUACCUUAUUGCAUUGUUUUCAUGAGCAAAGGAGUGUUCCUUUGACUUUUUC